rnacentral:rRNA from 1 species
UAAGACGCGGGAAAACACGAAGUGUGUACAUGAAACCUUCGGGGGACGAUAACGGCGUCGAGCGGCGGACGGGUGAGUAAUGCCUAGGAAAUUGCCCUGAUGUGGGGGAUAACCAUUGGAAACGAUGGCUAAUACCGCAUGAUGCCUACGGGCCAAAGAGGGGGACCUUCGGGCCUCUCGCGUCAGGAUAUGCCUAGGUGGGAUUAGCUAGUUGGUGAGGUAAGGGCUCACCAAGGCGACGAUCCCUAGCUGGUCUGAGAGGAUGAUCAGCCACACUGGAACUGAGACACGGUCCAGACUCCUACGGGAGGCAGCAGUGGGGAAUAUUGCACAAUGGGCGCAAGCCUGAUGCAGCCAUGCCGCGUGUGUGAAGAAGGCCUUCGGGUUGUAAAGCACUUUCAGUCGUGAGGAAGGUGGUGUAGUUAAUAGCUCUAUCAUUUGACGUUAGCGACAGAAGAAGCACCGGCUAACUCCGUGCCAGCAGCCGCGGUAAUACGGAGGGUGCGAGCGUUAAUCGGAAUUACUGGGCGUAAAGCGCAUGCAGGUGGUUUGUUAAGUCAGAUGUGAAAGCCCGGGGCUCAACCUCGGAAUUGCAUUUGAAACUGGCAGACUAGAGUACUGUAGAGGGGGGGUAGAAUUUCAGGUGUAGCGGUGAAAUGCGUAGAGAUCUGAAAGGAAAUACCGGUGGCGAAGGCGGCCCCCCUGGAACAGAUACCUGACACUUCAGAUGCGAAAAGCGUGGGGAGCAACCAGGGAAUUAGAUACCCUGUUAGUCCACGCCGUAAACGAUGUCUACUUUGGAAGGUUGUGGCCUUGAAGCAGUGCCUUUCGGAGCUUAACGCGCUAAAGUAGAUCCGGCCUUGGGGGGAGUUAUACCG